CGUCCCCAAAACAUGUCUUUGAAGUUUCUUGCUAAAAAAUCCACUCCGAUCCUAUAUUUCAGCAUGCCUGUAAACACCUCUUUUUCAGCCCUGUUCAGAACAGGCUGCUUCUGUGUCUGUAGCUUUAAAUGCAAAUGAGCUGUGCCUGACCACGCCCCUCUUCGGAAGGGGAUGCGGCUUGGGCUUCUGGCACCAUGCUCUAAUGUUUACGGUGACCGUGACCAGCAACCUGGCGUCGGUAGCGAUUUGGUUCAACCACACGACUUUUAUCCAGAAUCUGAGCCAGAGGGAGAGGCUGCUGAAGAAGUUCAAACUCUACAACUGCAGCAGGACGUUUCUGAAUGGUGCUCCUGUGGAAACUGUGCAACCAUGCCAACAGAAGCUGAGAAUAUCUGCUGCUAGGAGAUACCACAGGUUACCAGACGGCUAUGGGAGAUCGAGGAAGAUUUACCAUGUAUGGUAGGCCGUCCUGGGUUGGAGCCGCUCUGCCUCAAUGUGUACUCCCUCCAGAAUGCCUGCAACAUAUACCUGUCACACCGUGGUGGGGUUGUCUUGUCUUGGGUCUUUUUUGUCUUGUCAUUUCCUGUUUUAUUUUGAAAGAAGUAACUCUCCUCUCGUUUCAGGUCACUUGCCCUUCCUCAUGUGUCACCGGUCUGAUUGUCUUCCCUGAUUCCCGAUUGUGUUCACCUGCUCCUCAUUACCCUCAUGUGUUCAAAUAGUCUGCGUCUCCCCUUGUCUUGUGCCAGUGUGUUCGUCUUGGUUCAUGUGCGUUCACCCCGGCCGUCUUCACAGUUUUGGAUCACAGUCAUUGCCACAGUUCUUGUUGGUUUCCUCCAAGUGAGAGAUUUUUGUUGUAAGUUUUAUAUCUAGUUGAAUUUCCUAGUUAAUGUUUGCAUAGCCUUUUGUUUCCUCCGUGUGGAGUGAUUUUUAUUUACUUAACUUUUUAUAUCAUAGUACCUCCAGUUUUAAGGAGAGUUUUUGUUGUUUCUAUUUCUUUUUUUUGUUCCUUUUUCCUCUGAAGCUAGAGUGAUUUUCUGUUUAUGUUCCCUGUAGUCUUUUUCCUCCCUUAUUGGAGUGAUUUUUAUUUUUGGUAUUGAUUAACCCUGCUUCUUCGUGAAGAAGCACGUCAUAGAUAAUAUUUCAUAGCCUGUUUUUUUCUCUGCCUUGGAAUUAAACCGGAAUUACUAAUAAAGACUCUGAUACCCUGCAUCUGCGUCCUGUGUAUAAGUCUGGUUGUGACAAUACCGCACUGACUAUGGUACUUUAUGGUUGAGAGGAAUACA